UACAGAGGUCUCGAGCGUUAGGCGGAAUCACUGGGCUUAAAGCGUGUGUAGGCGGAUUGCUAAGUACCUUGUGAAAUCCCACGGCUUAACCGUGGAACUGCUUGGUAUACUGGCUGUCUUGAGCCACUUAGGGGCAACCGGAACAAACGGUGGAGCGGUGAAAUGCGUAGAUAUCAAGAGGAACACCUGAGGUGAAGACGGGUUGCUGGGCCGACACGUGACGCUGGAUGCGCGAAAGCCAGGGGAGCGAACGGG
rnacentral:rRNA from 1 species